UUCUGUUGUGACGUGGGUUUGGGCAUCUGCUUCCCUGACCCAGAGGAAGCCAGUCUUGCCUGGUGGGUUUCUGUCUAGUAUGAGGGAGGAGGAAUGGAGUGCCUUUUCUGCAGGCACCUGCACAUCUUGGGAGCUUAGAGAGUCUGUGCAAAGUUACCUUAAAGAGCAGCUGGUGCUUAAUGGAAAAUUUUGAGAAAGUUGUCGUUAUGAACCAAUUCAAUGGCUGGAGCAUUUCCUGCAAAGGCUCUUAUCCGGA
rnacentral:lncRNA from 1 species